rnacentral:tmRNA from 1 species
GGGGCUGAUUCUGGAUUCGACGGGAUUCGCGAAACCCAAGGUGCAUGCCGAGGGGCGGUUGGCCUCGUAAAAAGCCGCAAAAAAAUAGUCGCAAACGACGAAAACUACGCUUUAGCAGCUUAAUAACCUGCUUAGAGCCCUCUCUCCCUAGCCUCCGCUCUUAGGACGGGGAUCAAGAGAGGUCAAACCCAAAAGAGAUCGCGUGGAUGCCCUGCCUGGGGUUGAAGCGUUAAAACUAAUCAGGCUAGUCUGGUAGUGGCGUGUCCAUCCGCAGCUGCCAGGCGAAUGUAAAGACUGGACUAAGCAUGUAGUACCGAGGAUGUAGGAAUUUCGGACGCGGGUUCAACUCCCGCCAGCUCCACCA